rnacentral:hammerhead_ribozyme from 1 species
ACUUAGCUGACGAGUCCCAAAUAGGACUAAGACGAGCGUCCUAGAU